CGACCUGUGGUGUAAUGGUCAGCAUGUUCGCCUCGCAAGCGAGUGAGCCCGGGUUAAAUCCCCGGCAGGGUGA